rnacentral:rRNA from 1 species
UACGGGGGGGGCAAGCGUUGUUCGGAAUUACUGGGCGUAAAGGGCUCGUAGGUGGCCAACUAAGUCAGACGUGAAAUCCCUCGGCUUAACCGGGGAACUGCGUCUGAUACUGGAUGGCUUGAGAUUGGGAGAGGGACGCGGAAUUCCAGGUGUAGCGGUGAAAUGCGUAGAUAUCUGGAGGAACACCGGUGGCGAAGGCGGCGUCCUGGACCAACACUGACACUGAGGAGCGAAAGCCAGGGGAGCAAAGGGG